rnacentral:lncRNA from 1 species
AGAAUAUUUGCUUACUGGCAUUUUGUUUUUCGGAUUCAGAUUAAGAACAGCUUCAAAAGUAACUACGAAAAUGCUCUGAAGGAGUACAACUCCACAAGAGACUAUAGAAGUGAAGCUGUAGACAAGAUCCAAAGUACGUUGCAUUGCUGUGGGGUCACCAAUUACAGGGAUUGGAAAGGUACAAACUAUUACUCAGAAACAGGAUUUCCCAAGAGCUGCUGUAAACUGGAAGGCUGUUAUCCACAGAGAGAUGCAGAUAAAGUCAACGAAGAGGGUUGUUUCAUAAAGGUAAUGACAACUAUAGAGUCAGAAAUGGGAGUCGUUGCUGGAAUUUCUUUUGGAGUUGCUUGCUUUCAGCUAAUUGGAAUCUUUCUCGCCUACUGCCUCUCUCGUGCCAUAACGAAUAAUCAGUAUGAGAUAGUAUAAUCAGUAUGAACACGGGCUUAUAUCUCUUCAGUUCUAAGGUUACCUUUGUGAGUUAUAACAGCGCCUGGAUGGAGACUGACACAUUAGCCUGAAAAGCUACACCAGUAGACUGAUUCAAUCAAGAUAUUUGUGUAUUGUGUUCUAUGUCCACUUUCUGUCCUAUUCUUACACCCCUGUAUCUCUAAAACACUGGAAGAGCUAGUAAAUUGUACAUGAAAUAAUACUGUGCUUCCAUUGGAUUUUCUUUUCCAGUGUGGGAAUUGUGAGGAGUGCUGUGGAUUUGCUCUCUUCAUAGCAGUGUUCCUGAUGGAAGUUUAACCUCUACAAAUUUGCUGUUGACGUAGUGUGAUUGAAAAUUGGCCUCCUUAAGUGG